AUUUUGUGUCCAACAGGUGAAUCACAAGAGAAGGGGAUUCACUCAGUACAACCAGGAGACUGGGCGUGGAUCCAGUCCCUGAGGAGAAAAGACGGGAAGCAGCCCCGUUGGGAAGGCCCAUACCAGGUGCUGUUAAACCAUUGCCUUUGCCAUUAGAAAAGCUGAGAGAGUCACUUGGGUCCACGUUAUCCACUGCAAGAAGGUAUGUACACAUAUGACCACUGCUGAUCACACACAGAGUUAGGAGAAGAACCGAGUACCAACAGGGUCCGGGGGCUACCUCCUUAAAACCUGUUAGGGCUAGGGGGCAGUAUUGACACGGCCGGAUAAAAAACGUACCCGAUUUAAUCUGGUUACUACUCCUGUCCAGUAACUAGAAUAUGCAUAUAAUUAUUGGCUUUGGAUAGAAAACACCCUAAAGUUUCUAAAACUGUUUGAAUGGUGUCUGUGAGUAUAACAGAACUCAUAUGGCAGGCCAAAACCUGAGAAGAUUCCAUGCAGGAAGUGGCCUGUCUGACAAGUUGUUUCAUCUUGGCUCUUUUUAUUGAAGACUGAGGAUCUUUGCUAUAACGUGACACUUCCUACGGCUCCCAUAGGCUCUCAGAGCCCGGGAAAAAGCUGAACGAUAUCGAGGCAGGCUCUUGCUGAAACACAUUAUCGCUUUUGGCAAGUGGCCGAUCAGAGUACUAUGGGCUUAGGCGCAUGACCGAGUCGACCCCAUGCUUUAUUUUCUUUCGUCUGUUUACCUAAACACAGAUUCCCGGUCGGAAUAUUAUCGCUUUUUUAUGAAAAAAAUUGCAUAAAAAUUGAUUUUAAACAGCGGUUGACAUGCUUCGAAGUACGGUAAUGGAAUAUUUAGAAAUUUUUUGUCACGAAUUGCGCCAUGCUCGUCACCCUUAUUUACCCUUUGUUCGUGUCUUGAACGCACGAACAAAACGCCGCAAUUUGGAUAUAACAAUGGAUUAUUUGGGACCAAACCAACAUUUGUUAUUGAAGUAGAAGUCCUGGGAGUGCAUUCUGACGAAGACAGCAAAGGUAAUAACAUUUUUCUUAUAGUAGUAAAUCUGACUUUGGUGAGUGCUAAACUUGCUGGGUGUCUAAAUAGCUAGCCAUGUGAUGCCGGGCUAUCUACUGAGAAUAUUGCAAAAUGUGCUUUCACCGAAAAGCUAUUUUAAAAUCGGACAUAUCGAGUGCAUAGAGGAGUUCUGUAUCUAUAAUUCUUAAAAUAAUUGUUAUGCUUUUUGUGAACGUUUAUCGUGAGUAAUUUAGUAAAUUCACCGGCAGUGUUCGGUGGGAAUGCUAGUCACCUGCUAGUCACAUGCUAAUGUAAAAACCUGUUUUUUGAUAUAAAUAUGAACUUGAUUGAACUUGAUUGAACAAAACAUGCAUGUAUUGUAUAACAUAAUGUCCUAGGGUCGUCAUCUGAUGAAGAUCAUCAAAGGUUAGUGCUGCAUUUAGCUGUGGUUUGGGUUUAUGUGACAUUAUAUGCUAGCUUGAAAAAUGGGUGUCUGAUUAUUUCUGGCUGGGUACUCUGCUGACAUAAUCUAAUGUUUUGCUUUCGUUGUAAAGCCUUUUUGAAAUCGGACAGUGUGGUUAGAUUAACGAGUGUCUUGUCUUUAAAAUGUUGUAAAAUAGUCAUAUGUUUGAAAAAUUUAUGUUUUUGCAUUUUUGAGGUAUUUGAAUAACGCGCCACGGGAUUACACUGGCUGUUGAGUAGGUGGGACGCAAGCGUCCCACCUAGCCCAUAGAGGUUAACGAAGAUUUCCUAUCCCGACCGUUCAUCACUGUUUGUGCUCCUAGAGGUGUUUGAAGUUCCUGGGUGACUGGUAGUCAACCUAGUACAAGUGAGGUGUAGCUGGAAGGAUGUGAGGGUUUUUAACUAAUUAUCUAAUCAUUAAAAUGGAGAUAUACAAAUUGUGUUGAGUGACACCCUAAGGGGUGUCAAAAGGGGGAAUCCUACAUUUCUCUGAAAUGUCUUAUUGGAGUAUGUUCACACCCCAGGGGGUGUGAAAGGGGGGAUUGUUAGGGUUGAACUGGCUAUUUGUUUGCAUAACCUAUAUAAUAUAACGGAGAAGCUAUGCUACAAUAUUAAGUAUAUAAACUAUGGAUAAGUCAACUGCUGAAGACAAGAACUACACCCGGCAACAGGAAGUGCGUCACGAGGUUGG
rnacentral:lncRNA from 1 species